GACGAACGCUGGCGGCGUGCUUAACACAUGCAAGUCGAACGGAAAGGCCCUGCUUUUGUGGGGUGCUCGAGUGCGAACGGGGGGGGAACACGUGGGUUACCUGCCCCUGACUUUGGGGUAACUUCAGGAAACUGGGGCUAAUAACGGAUAAGAGCUCCUGCUGCCUGGUGGGGGUUGGAAAAGUUCGGCGGUUGGGGAUGGACUCGCGGCUUAUCAGCUUGGUGGUGGGGUAGUGGCUUACCAAGGCUUUGACGGGUAGCCGGCCUGAGAGGGUGACCGGCCACAUUGGGACUGAGAUACGGCCCAGACUCCUACGGGAGGCAGCAGUGGGGAAUAUUGCACAAUGGGCGGAAGCCUGAUGCAGCAACGCCGCGUGCGGGAUGACGGCCUUCGGGUUGUAAACCGCUUUCGCCUGUGACGAAGCGUGAGUGACGGUAAUGGGUAAAGAAGCACCGGCUAACUACGUG
rnacentral:rRNA from 1 species